UACGUAGGGAGCAAGCGUUGUCCGGAAUUAUUGGGCGUAAAGCGCGCGCAGGCGGUUGUUUAAGUCUGGUGUAUAAACCAAGGGCUCAACCUUUGGACGCAUUGGAAACUGGGCAACUGGAGUGUAGGAGAGGAAAGUGGAAUUCCACGUGUAGCGGUGUAAUGCGUAGAGAUGUGGAGGAACACCAGUGGCGAAGGCGACUUUCUGGCCUAUAACUGACGCUGAGGCGCGAAAGCGUGGGGAGCGAACAGG
rnacentral:rRNA from 1 species